CAAAGAUUGUGGCAGGGGACCUUGCAGCUUGUUGUUUUCUAGGUUCCUGAAUGUUGCAGAGGGGUAAAUUAGAACAAUUCAUCAGCUGAAGUACUUUAAGAAGUUCAAAAUGCCAGAUAUAUUUUCCUCACUCACAGCAAGUGGAGGUCCUUCAGUUCUCCAACGCUUUCGGGACUAGCUAGGAAGAAUGAAGGAAGUCACUAUCUAAAUGCAAACAGUGAGGCUUACAAAAUUUGAAGGUUUAUCAAGUCCUCUAACUCUGAACCAAAAGCUGUAAGUUGAUUAAAGCUCAAGUUCCUGCAAAGGCUGCCGAUGUUUUGUAUCUCUCCAGCAAGUGAAGUAUUAUGCAAAUCCCUGCAACAAGUGGAACCUCAAAUAAGUAAGCCAAGAUAGCCAAACAGUGGCUCUUAAGUAAGUUGUUAAGACUGAUCUUACAGUGAUUUGAGAUCCAGUAGGUCACCAAAUGUUGGGCUGAUUGACCUCAAGUUUACAUCAAAAAACUCCCUAUAUAAA